rnacentral:snRNA from 1 species
AAAAAGUGUUUGUCGUCG